rnacentral:rRNA from 1 species
CUUCAGAUAUGAUCCAGAGUACCACGGGACACGUGAAACCCUGUGGGAAGCAGGAGGGACCACCCUCCAAGGCUAAAUACUACCUAGUGACCAAUAGCGUAUAGUACCGUGAGGGAAAGGUGAAAAGAACCCCGGGAGGGGAGUGAAAUAGAACCUGAAACCCUGCACUUACAAGCUGUGGAAGCACAUUUCUUGUGUGACCGCGUACUUUUUGUAGAAC